AGUUCCGGUCCGGCUGACUUAUUUAUAGCAAUGUGCAAUUAACCCAUCCUUAACCCAUUGAACCGCCCAUUUUCUGGAAAAUCGCCAGACCAGUUAUUAGUGAACCAGCCGGGCUAAAAAUCCUGUAUACAAAGCCCCAAAUUUUACCCUCUCUCACGGAAACACCGUGAAAUUUUGGAAACCUUCAGGAUUUAGCCGUCUCUUGCAAUUCCCCAAGAAUCCAACACUUCGAUUUCAAGUGGUAUUAGAUAUAAGAAGAACAUCAUAUUGAAACAUUGUUUUUAUUACAAAUAUCUUCUUUUCUACUUGGCCAAACCUUCUUUGGCUCUUCUGACUUCCAGGCUCCAGCUGCAGUGUUUGAGGACUGAGAAUGGCAAGUUGUCUACAGAAAAGGGGUGAAUUUGGGUGGUGUUGCCGGGGGCGGAGCCCAAUGAAGUCAAGUGCAGGCACAGGCUCGCACUGAACUUAUGGGCGGCUCAUCACAAAGCCCAACUGUUUUUUAUAACUUUCCAAAUGCCCAGGCCUAGCCAAGAAGUGAAGUCCAUUACCUAGCCCAAUAACAUGAUUAUGAUUCAUUCAAGUUUCAACCUAUUCCAAUUUUGAUCCAUUCCCCAACUCAACCGGUUACCCAUUCCAUCCACUCCGCCUCUGCCGGCACUGUCUUCACCUUCUCAUCCCCUGCUUUCUGACCGUCCCCGUUUGUUCGAGCCCCAGACGGCUAGACCAUAGACGCACAUACGGGUUACGGCAACAACAGCAGACGCCCGCGAUUCUUCAGCAGCAGUCAGCGAUUCUAAAGUUCAAUCCUGAUAUAAAAAAGGGUUGGGCUUUUUUUUCUUUUAAUCUUUUAUUGAGCUUUAUUUUGAACUUACACUUCGAUUCUCUGUAUUUUUCUUAAAUUAUAUGUUUUUAUUUGUGUCUGUAGUUUUG